rnacentral:rRNA from 1 species
GGUUAAGCGACUAAGCGUACACGGUGGAUGCCCUGGCAGUCAGAGGCGAUGAAGGACGUGCUAAUCUGCGAUAAGCGUCGGUAAGGUGAUAUGAACCGUUAUAACCGGCGAUUUCCGAAUGGGGAAACCCAGUGUGUUUCGACACACUAUCAUUAACUGAAUCCAUAGGUUAAUGAGGCGAACCGGGGGAACUGAAACAUCUAAGUACCCCGAGGAAAAGAAAUCAACCGAGAUUCCCCCAGUAGCGGCGAGCGAACGGGGAGGAGCCCAGAGCCUGAAUCAGUGUGUGUGUUAGUGGAAGCGUCUGGAAAGGCGCGCGAUACAGGGUGACAGCCCCGUACACAAAAAUGCACAUGCUGUGAGCUCGAUGAGUAGGGCGGGACACGUGGUAUCCUGUCUGAAUAUGGGGGGACCAUCCUCCAAGGCUAAAUACUCCUGACUGACCGAUAGUGAACCAGUACCGUGAGGGAAAGGCGAAAAGAACCCCGGCGAGGGGAGUGAAAAAGAACCUGAAACCGUGUACGUACAAGCAGUGGGAGCACGCUUAGGCGUGUGACUGCGUACCUUUUGUAUAAUGGGUCAGCGACUUAUAUUCUGUAGCAAGGUUAACCGAAUAGGGGAGCCGAAGGGAAACCGAGUCUUAACUGGGCGUUAAGUUGCAGGGUAUAGACCCGAAACCCGGUGAUCUAGCCAUGGGCAGGUUGAAGGUUGGGUAACACUAACUGGAGGACCGAACCGACUAAUGUUGAAAAAUUAGCGGAUGACUUGUGGCUGGGGGUGAAAGGCCAAUCAAACCGGGAGAUAGCUGGUUCUCCCCGAAAGCUAUUUAGGUAGCGCCUCGUGAAUUCAUCUCCGGGGGUAGAGCACUGUUUCGGCAAGGGGGUCAUCCCGACUUACCAACCCGAUGCAAACUGCGAAUACCGGAGAAUGUUAUCACGGGAGACACACGGCGGGUGCUAACGUCCGUCGUGAAGAGGGAAACAACCCAGACCGCCAGCUAAGGUCCCAAAGUCAUGGUUAAGUGGGAAACGAUGUGGGAAGGCCCAGACAGCCAGGAUGUUGGCUUAGAAGCAGCCAUCAUUUAAAGAAAGCGUAAUAGCUCACUGGUCGAGUCGGCCUGCGCGGAAGAUGUAACGGGGCUAAACCAUGCACCGAAGCUGCGGCAGCGACGCUGAUGCGUUGUUGGGUAGGGGAGCGUUCUGUAAGCCUGCGAAGGUGUGCUGUGAGGCAUGCUGGAGGUAUCAGAAGUGCGAAUGCUGACAUAAGUAACGAUAAAGCGGGUGAAAAGCCCGCUCGCCGGAAGACCAAGGGUUCCUGUCCAACGUUAAUCGGGGCAGGGUGAGUCGACCCCUAAGGCGAGGCCGAAAGGCGUAGUCGAUGGGAAACAGGUUAAUAUUCCUGUACUUGGUGUUACUGCGAAGGGGGGACGGAGAAGGCUAUGUUGGCCGGGCGACGGUUGUCCCGGUUUAAGCGUGUAGGCUGGUUUUCCAGGCAAAUCCGGAAAAUCAAGGCUGAGGCGUGAUGACGAGGCACUACGGUGCUGAAGCAACAAAUGCCCUGCUUCCAGGAAAAGCCUCUAAGCAUCAGGUAACAUCAAAUCGUACCCCAAACCGACACAGGUGGUCAGGUAGAGAAUACCAAGGCGCUUGAGAGAACUCGGGUGAAGGAACUAGGCAAAAUGGUGCCGUAACUUCGGGAGAAGGCACGCUGAUAUGUAGGUGAAGCGACUUGCUCGUGGAGCUGAAAUCAGUCGAAGAUACCAGCUGGCUGCAACUGUUUAUUAAAAACACAGCACUGUGCAAACACGAAAGUGGACGUAUACGGUGUGACGCCUGCCCGGUGCCGGAAGGUUAAUUGAUGGGGUCAGCGCAAGCGAAGCUCUUGAUCGAAGCCCCGGUAAACGGCGGCCGUAACUAUAACGGUCCUAAGGUAGCGAAAUUCCUUGUCGGGUAAGUUCCGACCUGCACGAAUGGCGUAAUGAUGGCCAGGCUGUCUCCACCCGAGACUCAGUGAAAUUGAACUCGCUGUGAAGAUGCAGUGUACCCGCGGCAAGACGGAAAGACCCCGUGAACCUUUACUAUAGCUUGACACUGAACAUUGAGCCUUGAUGUGUAGGAUAGGUGGGAGGCUUUGAAGUGUGGACGCCAGUCUGCAUGGAGCCGACCUUGAAAUACCACCCUUUAAUGUUUGAUGUUCUAACGUUGACCCGUAAUCCGGGUUGCGGACAGUGUCUGGUGGGUAGUUUGACUGGGGCGGUCUCCUCCUAAAGAGUAACGGAGGAGCACGAAGGUUGGCUAAUCCUGGUCGGACAUCAGGAGGUUAGUGCAAUGGCAUAAGCCAGCUUGACUGCGAGCGUGACGGCGCGAGCAGGUGCGAAAGCAGGUCAUAGUGAUCCGGUGGUUCUGAAUGGAAGGGCCAUCGCUCAACGGAUAAAAGGUACUCCGGGGAUAACAGGCUGAUACCGCCCAAGAGUUCAUAUCGACGGCGGUGUUUGGCACCUCGAUGUCGGCUCAUCACAUCCUGGGGCUGAAGUAGGUCCCAAGGGUAUGGCUGUUCGCCAUUUAAAGUGGUACGCGAGCUGGGUUUAGAACGUCGUGAGACAGUUCGGUCCCUAUCUGCCGUGGGCGCUGGAGAACUGAGGGGGGCUGCUCCUAGUACGAGAGGACCGGAGUGGACGCAUCACUGGUGUUCGGGUUGUCAUGCCAAUGGCACUGCCCGGUAGCUAAAUGCGGAAGAGAUAAGUGCUGAAAGCAUCUAAGCACGAAACUUGCCCCGAGAUGAGUUCUCCCUGACUCCUUGAGAGUCCUGAAGGAACGUUGAAGACGACGACGUUGAUAGGCCGGGUGUGUAAGCGCAGCGAUGCGUUGAGCUAACCGGAACUCAUGAACCGUG